rnacentral:tRNA from 1 species
GGGGAUGUGACUCAGUUGUUAGAGUGCUUGCCUAGCAUGUAUGAGGCCCUGGAUUCAUUCCAUCCCCA